GCAACCGUGGCCUACUGGUUAGCGCUUCGGACUUGUAACCGGAGAGUUGCCGGUUCGAACCCCGACCAGUAGGCA
rnacentral:tRNA from 1 species